CCUACGGGAGACUGCAGUGAGGAAUAUUGGUCAAUGGACGCAAGUCUGACCCAGCCAUGCCGCGUGCAUGAAGACGGCUCUAUGAGUUGUAAACUGCUUUUGUACGAGGGUAAACGCAGAUACGCGUAUCUGUCUGACAGUCUCGUACGAAUAAGGAUCGGCUAACUCCGUGCCAGCAGCCGCGGUAAUACGGAGGAGUCAAGCGUUAUCCGGAUUUAUUGGGUUGAAAGGGUGCGUAGGCGGUCGGAUAAGUUAGAGGUGAAAUCCCGAGGCUCAACUUCGGAAUUGCCUCUGAUACUGUUCGGCUAGAGAGUAGGUGCGGUAGGCGGAAUGUAUGGUGUAGCGGUGAAAGGCUUAGAGAUCAUACAGAACACCGAUUGCGAAGGCAGCUUACCAAGCUACUUCUGACGUUGAGGCACGAAAGCGUGGGGAGCAAACAGGAUUAGAUACCCUUGUAGUC
rnacentral:rRNA from 1 species